UACAUAGGGUGCAAGCGUUGUCCGGAAUUAUUGGGCGUAAAGAGCUCGUAGGUGGUUCGUUACGUCGGAUGUGAAAAUCUGGGGCUCAACCCCAGACCUGCAUCCGACUACGGUCGAGCUAGAGUUUGGUAGGGGAGACUGGAAUUCCUGGUGUAGCGGUGGAAUGCGCAGAUAUCAGGAGGAGCACCAAUGGCGAAGGCAGGUCUCUGGGCCAAUACUGACACUGAGGAGCGAAAGUCUGGGGAGCGAACAGG
rnacentral:rRNA from 1 species